GCUGGGUGUGGUUAUGCAUGCCUGUAAUCCCAGCAACUUGGGAGGCUGAGGCAGGAGGAUCACAAGUUCAAAGCCAGCCUCAGUAACUUAGUGAGGCCCUAAGCAACCUAAUGAGACCCUAUCUCAA
rnacentral:sRNA from 1 species